CCAAGAGAUCGGAUAACCAACCUGGAAACAGAUGCUAAUACCGGAUAACAACAGAUGAUGCCUAUCAACUGUUUAAAAGAUGGUUCUGCUAUCACUCUUGGAUGGACCUGCGGUGCAUUAGCUAGUUGGUAGGGUAACGGCCUACCAAGGCGAUGAUGCAUAGCCGAGUUGAGAGACUGAUCGGCCACAUUGGGACUGAGACACGGCCCAAACUCCUACGGGAGGCAGCAGCG
rnacentral:rRNA from 1 species